GGAGAGAUGGCCGAGCGGCUGAAGGCGCUCGCCUGCUAAGCGAGUAGACGGCUAAUACCUGUCUCGAGGGUUCAAAUCCCUCUCUCUCCGCCA
rnacentral:tRNA from 1 species